rnacentral:rRNA from 1 species
CUACGGGCGGCAGCAGUGAGGAAUUUUGCGCAAUGGGGGCAACCCUGACGCAGCAACGCCGCGUGAGUGAAGAAGGCCCUUGGGUCGUAAAGCUCUGUCAAUGGGGAAGAAGUUGCUUGGUAUUAAUAGUGCCUUGUAUUGACGGUACCCAUGAAGGAAGCACCGGCUAACUCCGUGCCAGCAGCCGCGGUAAUACGGGGGGUGCAAGCGUUAUUCGGAAUUAUUGGGCGUAAAGGGCACGCAGGCGGUCCUGUCAGUCAGAUGUGAGAGCCCAGGGCUCAACCCUGGACGUGCAUUUGAAACAGCAGGACUUGAGUACGGGAGAGGAAAGGGGAAUUCCUGGUGUAGAGGUGAAAUUCGUAGAUAUCAGGAGGAACACCGGUGGCGAAGGCGCCUUUCUGGACCGAUACUGACGCUGAGGUGCGAAGGCGUGGGUAGCGAACGGGAUUAGAUACCCCAGUAGUC